rnacentral:rRNA from 1 species
UACGUAGGUGGCGAGCGUUAUCCGGAAUUAUUGGGCGUAAAGCGCGCGCAGGCGGCUUCUUAAGUCUGAUGUGAAAGCCCACGGCUCAACCGUGGAGGGUCAUUGGGAACUGGGAAACUUGAGUGCAGAAGAGGAAAGCGGAAUUCCACGUGUAGCGGUGAAAUGCGUAGAGAUGUGGAGGAACACCAGUGGCGAAGGCGGCUUUCUGGUCUGUAACUGACGCUGAGGCGCGAAAGCUAGGGGAGCAAACGGG